rnacentral:rRNA from 1 species
UACGUAGGGUGCGAGCGUUGUCCGGAAUUAUUGGGCGUAAAGGGCUCGUAGGCGGUCUGUCACGUCGGGAGUGAAAACUCGGGGCUUAACCCCGAGCCUGCUUCCGAUACGGGCAGACUAGAGGUAUGCAGGGGAGAAUGGAAUUCCUGGUGUAGCGGUGAAAUGCGCAGAUAUCAGGAGGAACACCGGUGGCGAAGGCGGGUCUCUGGGCCGACACUGACGCUGAGGAGCGAAAGCGUGGGGAGCGAACAGG